UGCUGCAGACACCUGUCUGUGGCAGGUGCUGGCCCAAAAGGCUGUGGAGUUGUGACUUAUGGGUCCUGUCCCCCCAGCUCGCGCUCAUGGAUACAUCUGGUCACAGACAGUG